rnacentral:rRNA from 1 species
CCCACGGGAGGCAGCAGUGGGGAAUAUUGGACAAUGGGGGGAACCCUGAUCCAGCGACGCCGCGGGAGUGAAGAAGGAGUUCGGGAGGUAAAGCUCUAUCAGCAGGGAAGAAAGAAAUGACGGUACCGGACUAAGAAGCCACGGCUAACGACGUGCCAGCAGCCGCGGUAAUACGUAGGGGGCAAGCGUUAUCCGGAUUUACUGGGUGUAAAGGGAGCGUAGACGGCGAUGCAAGUCUGAAGUGCAAGGCGGGGGCCCAACCCCCGGACUGCUUUGGAAACUGUAUGGCUGGAGUGCAGGAGAGGUCCGUGGAAUUCCUUGUGUAGCUGUGCACUGCGUAGAUAUUAGGAGGAACCCCAGUGGC